rnacentral:rRNA from 1 species
GAUGAACGCUGGCGGCGUGCCUAAUACAUGCAAGUCGAGCGAACAGACGAGGAGCUUGCUCCUCUGACGUUAGCGGCGGACGGGUGAGUAACACGUGGAUAACCUACCUAUAAGACUGGGAUAACUUCGGGAAACCGGAGCUAAUACCGGAUAAUAUAUUGAACCGCAUGGCUCAAUAGUGAAAGACGGUUUUGCUGUCACUUAUAGAUGGAUCCGCGCCGCUUUAGCUAGUUGGUAAGGUAACGGCUUACCAAGGCAACGAUGCGUAGCCGACCUGAGAGGGUGAUCGGCCACACUGGAACUGAGACACGGUCCAGACUCCUACGGGAGGCAGCAGUAGGGAAUCUUCCGCAAUGGGCGAAAGCCUGACGGAGCAACGCCGCGUGAGUGAUGAAGGUCUUCGGAUCGUAAAACUCUGUUAUUAGGGAAGAACAAAUGUGUAAGUAACUAUGCACGUCUUGACGGUACCUAAUCAGAAAGCCACGGCUAACUACGU